GCGGAGUUGGCGAGGCCGCGCAGGGCGAGUUGCUGUUUCGCCGGACUGCCCAUGAUCGAGACAUGGAUCGUCGCG
rnacentral:tRNA from 1 species